rnacentral:rRNA from 1 species
CCUACGGGAGGCAGCAGUGAGGAAUAUUGGUCAAUGGGCGUAAGCCUGAACCAGCCAAGUCGCGUGAGGGAUCAAGGUUCUAUGGAUCGUAAACCUCUUUUAUAAUGGAAUAAAGUGUGGGACGUGUCCUGUUUUGUAUGUACCUUAUGAAUAAGGAUCGGCUAACUCCGUGCCAGCAGCCGCGGUAAUACGGAGGAUCCGAGCGUUAUCCGGAUUUAUUGGGUUUAAAGGGUGCGUAGGCGGCCUUUUAAGUCAGCGGUGAAAGUCUGUGGCUCAACCAUAGAAUUGCCGUUGAAACUGGGAGGCUUGAGUAUGUUUGAGGCAGGCGGAAUGCGUGGUGUAGCGGUGAAAUGCUUAGAUAUCACGCAGAACCCCGAUUGCGAAGGCAGCCUGCCAAGCCAUGACUGACGCUGAUGCACGAAAGCGUGGGGAUCAAACAGGAUUAGAUACCCCAGUAGUC